AAAUUUCAAACUACAUAGAAUUUUCCUAACUUGGUAACCACGUUCGUUUAAAUAUUGACUUAAAACUAACACAAGUUUUCACUGCACUCACCUCCACUAUAAAUUUAGCCCAAACAUCAAACGUACCACAUACUUUCCCAAUUAGUUAUAAGCUAUGAAUAUCAGACAUAUUGCAAUCGUAUGCUGCUCUCUUCCCGUUGUGGGCACUCUUGUUCGCCUCUUCUUCUCCUCUCUGCAAGACACGCUUUCGACUUCUGCAGACAAUGGGAAGUACGAAACCAAGGAUCAAAAUAUUGUUGUUGCUUCUGAUCCAAGCAAUGUAACGGAGGAUCAAAGUGUUUUUCUUGCUUCUGAUCGAAGCAAUGCAACGGCCCAGAUGCAUUUCCGGCAACUUCAACACAUAAGAACAGCUUGAACGAAACGUUGUUGAGUACCUGUCUAAUUAAGACUACGAAUUUUAGGGCCAAUUCCCCUUUUUGUCUUUUACUUGUUCUUUCUUAUAACGCGUGGAUUACAUAUGUUGUUGACUGUCUGUCUAAUUAAGGGUACAAUUUUUAGAGGCCAAUUCUUCUUUUGUCUUUUACUCGUUCUUUCUUGUAAUGCAUGAAUUAGUAACAAUUUCUUACGAAUAAGAAUCGAUCAGGGGUUAUGAAAAGCUAGGAAAAUUUUAUGCAUGGUAUAAAGGGUGGUUUUUAUUUUUAUUUUUUGGUGAUAUCCAAAGUUAAGGCAAAAACGAAAUGAAGAGAAAAAACAUGUGUUGAAGGAAUUUCACUCGCUCGAGUUGGGG
rnacentral:lncRNA from 1 species